rnacentral:lncRNA from 1 species
CCCAGUCCUGUCUGGUGAUUGUAGUCCCCCAGUCCUGUCUGGUGAUUGUAGUCCCCCAGUCCUGUCUGGUGAUUGUAGUCCCCCCCAGUCCUGUCUGGUGAUUGUAGUCCCCCCCAGUCCUGUCUGGUGAUUGUAGUCCCAGUCCUGUCUGGCGAUUGUAGUAUCCCCAGUCCUGUCUGGUGAUUGUAGUCCCAGUCCUGUCUGGCGAUUGUAGUCCCCCCAGUCCUGUCUGGCGAUUGUAGUCUCCCCCAGUCCUGUCUGGUGAUUGUAGUCCCCCCCAGUCCUGUCUGGUGAUUAUAGUCCCAGUCCUGUCUGGCGAUUAGUCCCUCAGUCCUGUCUGGUGAUUGCAGUCCUCCCCAGUCCUGUCUGGUGAUUGUAGUCCCCCAGUCCUGUCUGGUGAUUGUAGUCCCCCCAGUCUUGUCUGGUGAUUGUAGUCCCAGUCCUGUCUGGUGAUUGUAGUCUCCCCAGUCCUGUCUGGUGAUUGUAGUCCCCCCAGUCCUGUCUGGUGAUUGUAGUAUCCCCAGUCCUGUCUGGUGAUUGUAGUAUCCCCAGUCCUGUCUGGUGAUUGUAUCCCCCCAGUCCUGUCUGGUGAUUGUAGUCCUCCCCAGUCCUGUCUGGUGAUUGUAGUCCUCCCCAGUCCUGUCUGGUGAUUGUAGUCCUCCCCAUCCUGUCUGGUGAUUGCAGUCCCCCCAGUCCUGUCUGGUGAUUGUAGUAUCCCCAGUCCUGUCUGGUGAUUGUAGUAUCCCCAGUCCUGUCUGGUGAUUGUAGUCCCAGUCCAGUCCGGUGAUUGUAGUCCCACCAGUCCUGUCUGAUGAUUGUAGUCCCAGUCCUGUCUGGUGAUUAUAGUCCCAGUCCUGUCUGGUGAUUGUAGUCCUCCCCAGUCCUGUCUGGUGAUUGUAGUCCCCCCAGUCCUGUCUGGUGAUUUCCCCCCCAGUCCUGUCUGGUGAUUGUAGUCCCAGUCCUGUCUGGUGAUUGUAGUCCCCCCAGUCCUGUCUGGUGAUUGUAGUCCCAGUCCAGUCCGGUGAUUGUAGUCCCAGUCCAGUCCGGUGAUUGUAGUCCCAGUCCAGUCCGGUGAUUGUAGUCCCAGUCCAGUCCGGUGAUUGAUUUGAGGAGAGGGUUGUUGUCCGAUAGAUUCCUCUACUAAAUAGACUGUUUACAGACUGAAUAAAAUAUUGACUUGGUGUCCAUUUAUAAGUGCAACACAGAGAUUAUAUUAAAAAAUGAAACAAGAAUACAACAGAAGGGUUAAAAACAAACGAAAGCACCUAAAAGCUGUAUCCUUUUGCACAAUUUAAAUCAUGAUACAA